rnacentral:rRNA from 1 species
UAAUUGAAGAGUUUGAUCAUGGCUCAGAUUGAACGCUGGCGGCAGGCCUAACACAUGCAAGUCGAGCGGUAACAGGAGAAGCUUGCUUCUCGCUGACGAGCGGCGGACGGGUGAGUAAUGUAUGGGGAUCUGCCCGAUAGAGGGGGAUAACUACUGGAAACGGUAGCUAAUACCGCAUAAUCUCUCAGGAGCAAAGCAGGGGAACUUCGGUCCUUGCGCUAUCGGAUGAACCCAUAUGGGAUUAGCUAGUUGGUGAGGUAAUGGCUCACCAAGGCGACGAUCCCUAGCUGGUCUGAGAGGAUGAUCAGCCACACUGGGACUGAGACACGGCCCAGACUCCUACGGGAGGCAGCAGUGGGGAAUAUUGCACAAUGGGCGCAAGCCUGAUGCAGCCAUGCCGCGUGUAUGAAGAAGGCCCUAGGGUUGUAAAGUACUUUCAGUCGGGAGGAAGGCG